rnacentral:rRNA from 1 species
UGGGGAAUAUUGCACAAUGGAGGGAACUCUGAUGCAGCGACGCCGCGUGAACGAAGAAGGCUUUCGAGUCGUAAAGUUCUUUUAUAUGGGAAGAUAAUGACGGUACCAUAAGAAAAAGCCCCGGCUAACUACGUGCCAGCAGCCGCGGUAAUACGUAAGGUCCGAGCGUUGUCCGGAAUCAUUGGGCGUAAAGGGUACGUAGGCGGAUAAGCAAGUUAGAAGUGAAAUCCUAUAGCUCAACUAUAGUAAGCUUUUAAAACUGCUCAUCUUGAGGUAUGGAAGGGAAAGUGGAAUUCCUAGUGUAGCGGUGAAAUGCGCAGAUAUUAGGAGGAAUACCGGUGGCGAAGGCGACUUUCUGGCCAUAUACUGACGCUGAGGUACGAAAGCGUGGGUAGCAAACAGG